GGUCCCGUGGUGUAGCGGUUAGCACUCAGGACUCUGAAUCCUACGACGGGAGUUCAAAUCUCCCCGGGACCU
rnacentral:tRNA from 1 species